rnacentral:snoRNA from 1 species
AGGUCACUUCAAAGAGGGCUGUGUGCUGCUGAACAGACAGCUCUUAACGCAGUGACCUAAGACAGAAAUCCUUUGCAGGAUAUCAAGGGUACUUGGUGUACUCUGUGGUCUAUACCAGAGGAGACAAG